GAUGAACGCUGGCGGCGUGCCUAAUACAUGCAAGUCGAGCGAACGGACGAGAAGCUUGCUUCUCUGAUGUUAGCGGCGGACGGGUGAGUAACACGUGGAUAACCUACCUAUAAGACUGGGAUAACUUCGGGAAACCGUAGCUAAUACCGGAUAAUAUUUUGAACCGCAUGGUUCAAAAGUGAAAGACGGUCUUGCUGUCACUUAUAGAUGGAUCCGCGCUGCAUUAGCUAGUUGGUAAGGUAACGGCUUACCAAGGCAGCGAUGCAUAGCCGACCUGAGAGGGUGAUCGGCCACACUGGAACUGAGACACGGUCCAGACUCCUUCGGGAGGCAGCAGUAGGGAAUCUUCCGCAAUGGGCGAAAGCCUGACGGAGCAACGCCGCGUGAGUGAUGAAGGUCUUCGGAUCGUAAAACUCUGUUAUUAGGGAAGAACAUAUGUGUAAGUAACUGUGCACAUCUUGACGGUACCUAAUCAGAAAGCCACGGCUAACUACGUG
rnacentral:rRNA from 1 species